rnacentral:tRNA from 1 species
GUCCUCGUAGCUUAAUAUUAAAGCAUGACACUGAAGAUGCCAAGAUGGUUAAAUCACCCUCAUACCCGAGGACA